GUACGUGAAACUGGUUAGGUCGAAGCGGAUAGAGCAGUCGAAAGAUGGUAGCAAUGAGUUGAUCGGGUGUUGGCUUCGGCUCAGCACAUCGGUUGAUGCACUUGUUAUUUGUUGCGCUGGCACGGUUGAUGAUGCCGUUGGAAGUGGUUGUAGAGGUGCUGUUCUUCGGAAGGGUAAACCUGCRAUCAUGAAAGACGUGUUGUUGUUAAUCGAUGUUGUUACAACAACGCAACAGUGAGUGUGCUGUAAGUGUGAGUGUUGACUAUGGGUCUUCGCAUGCGAAGGCCUUAGCCAGUGCUUAUGCUUGUAGUAUUAUGAUCUGAGGCGUUUGUCAGUGUACAUUUGUACUGUCACCUAUCCGUCCCGUCUUGAAACACGGACCAAGGAGUUUAUCGUAUGUGCGAGUUAUUGGGUGAUUAAAACCUAAUGGCGUAAUGAAAGUAAAGGUUUUGCUUGCAAAACUGAUAUGUGAUCCGGAUGUCCUUCC
rnacentral:rRNA from 1 species